AGAGUUUGAUCCUGGCUCAGAAUCAACGCUGGCGGCGUGCCUCAGACAUGCAAGUCGAACGAUUAAAGCUCUCUUCGGAGAGUGUAUAAAGUGGCGCACGGGUGAGUAACACGUAGGUAAUCUACCUUUGAGUGGGGAAUAACAGUCGGAAACGACUGCUAAUACCGCAUAAUGCAGCGGCAUCUAUGAUGACAGUUGUUAAAGGAGCAAUCCGCUUAAAGAGGAGCCUGCGGCAGAUUAGCUAGUUGGUAAGGUAAUGGCUUACCAAGGCUACGAUCUGUAACCGACCUGAGAGGGUGGUCGGUCACACUGACACUGAAUAACGGGUCAGACUCCUACGGGAGGCAGCAGUCGGGAAUUUUGGGCAAUGGGCGAAAGCCUGACCCAGCAACGCCGCGUGAAGGAUGAAGUUUUUCGGAAUGUAAACUUCGUAAAAAUAGGAAGAAUAAAUGACGGUACUAUUUGUAAGGUCCGGCUAACUACGUGCCAGCAGCCGCGGUAAUACGUAGGGACCAAGCGUUGUUCGGAUUUACUGGGCGUAAAGGGCGCGUAGGCGGCAAUUCAAGUCAUCUGUGAAAUCUCCGGGCUUAACUCGGAACGGUCAGAUGAUACUGCUUUGCUAGAGUACAGAAGGGGCAAUCGGAAUUCUUGGUUGUAGCGGUGAAAUGCGUAGAUUCAAGAGGAACACCUGAGGUGAAGACGGGUUGCUGGGCUGAUACUGA
rnacentral:rRNA from 1 species